rnacentral:lncRNA from 12 species
GCUGCGCGGGAGACUUAGCACACUACACUUUGUGCAGCCUACAUGGUUUUUGUUUUUUUUUUUUUUUUUUUGGAGGGUUGUUGUGGAGUGGUAGAGCAGAGAAGACUACUGGGGAGUGACAAAGAAGGUCAAGUUUAGUCAGAGGAAAACCAGGAGAAUUUAGUGUCUUAGAAUGAAGGGAAGGACAUUUUUCAAGGAGGAGGGUGUGCUCAGCCAUGUCAAUAUUCUAAUUAUAGACUGAGUAAGAGGAUAUUGGACUUGGUAAUAUGGAACACAUUGGUGACCUUGAUAAGAAGCCACCAGUGGAGUGCAGUGUUGGGGUGAAAGUUUGAUUGUAAUGUAGUUAAAACAGAGUUCAAGAAUAAUCAUUAAAUGUAAUGCAUGAUCCUUGAUUGAAUCUUAGGUUAAAAUACUACUGUCUAUUACCACAUGGCUUUUACCAUUACCAUCAAUAAUAAAAAAUCUGUAAAGGAUAUUAUUGGGAGAAAC